rnacentral:tRNA from 1 species
UGCCCCGUGGCUUAGUUGGUUACGGCGUCCGACUGUUAUAAUCACCUCCUGGAGAAAGAUAUCGGAAGAUCGAGAGUUCAAGUCUCUCCGGGGCAG